GGAUACUUUAACUUUUGGGGUACCAAGGUUUCUCCAUCAUUUAAUGGAUCUUAGUUCCAAAAAAAUCUCUGUGAUGGAAUUUGACGUUUCAAAGGUUCUUGAAGAGCUAAGACUCACUAUGGAUCAGUUCAUUGAUUUGUGUAUUCUCUCUGGAUGUGAUUAUUGUGAUAACAUUAAAGGUCGGGCAAUUCGUGAGGCUUGAGUUUUUUUGAUGCAAGAAGUGAG